GGAAAUGUUUUUAAAGUAAUUAUGUGAACAGUGUUUUCUAAUGAUGAGUUCAGCAAGCACUUGUUAAAAGGGGAAAAAGAUUUUAAUAUUAUAAAUAAUCAUCACUUGGCUGACAUUUGAUUUUUGACUACUCUCCCGCCGACCUAAUGCACUUAGCCUAACGUCAAUCGGGUAAGUCUUUUGCCUGGAUGCCUUUGAAUACUCUCUCCGAUCUUUCUCAAUCAAGUCGAAGCUAUGUCUCUGGAGCAGUUUGUUGAGUUUGUUGAACAGCCAGAAGUCGAGCGAUGCUAACUCAGGCGAAAACGAUCAUUGACGAAUUACACGGAUCGAGGUUUUGUUUGUUCUUCGAACCAAAGCUGACUUCGUCUGUUAAAAGCACAAAGCUCCUUUCCGAACGGUUUGAGAUUAAUUCAAACUAAGCCCCCGCCAUCAGCAAGAUCUCUGAUUGUCAGUCGAUAAUUUAAGAGCAGCAAACCUUUGAUUUGCUUGACAUGCUUUCCGUCGGUUGAUGUUAAUAGUCGCUGCUCGUCUUGAACUCAAGUUCUCAAGUAUCUUUGAAGUCUUUGUAAUAUCUUUCUGCGUCAUAGUUUCGCCUUUUGCGACAUCCUCGACGAAUAUUCAUUUUGCAAACAAAAUUUAAUGCAAUUUCUUUGCUCGACACAAAGUCACGUUUUUACGUUUACAGAAGGAAAUGUAACACUGCAGCGUGAAUGCCAUGAAACUCCACAUAGAUGCCAGAGACAAUAUUCACCGACCGACUGAUCCGUCAAAAACUAGUUUCACUAUUUUACAAUACCCGGGGUCUUUAAAUGAAAAAUUCACCUUAUUUUUUGAUUAUUGACAAUAGCUUAUGUUUAAGGUGCGGACUUAAGAUUAAGUUUAGGUGACGCAUAACAUAUGAAACAAUAAUGUGUUCUUUUUAAUGUUUUUUAUGCGCAAGUUCCUUAAUUUCCUUUUUUCAAAUGCUAUAAAGGAGAUGUUAAAAAGCAAUCAAUUUUUAAGACUAUCUUCAAUAUCCAGACAUGAUGUUCAAGUAAAUCGAAACGGUUGAAAGACUUUCGUAUCUCCAAGAAGUUCGAUAUCCGCCAUUGUCGAGUUGAGGAUUUAGCAAAGCAAGCAGAAUGUUUUAGCCAUAAGAGCCUUGUGGAAUGUAAUUAAAGUUGAGAAAAAGGACUA